AACCGCAUGGUUCAAGGAUGAAAGACGGUUUCGGCUGUCACUUACAGAUGGACCCGCGGCGCAUUAGCUAGUUGGUGAGGUAACGGCUCACCAAGGCGACGAUGCGUAGCCGACCUGAGAGGGUGAUCGGCCACACUGGGACUGAGACACGGCCCAGACUCCUACGGGAGGCAGCAGUAGGGAAUCUUCCGCAAUGGACGAAAGUCUGACGGAGCAACGCCGCGUGAGUGAUGAAGGUUUUCGGAUCGUAAAGCUCUGUUGUUAGGGAAGAACAAGUGCAAGAGUAACUGCUUGCACCUUGACGGUACCUAACCAGAAAGCCACGGCUAACUACGUGCCAGCAGCCGCGGUAAUACGUAGGUGGCAAGCGUUGUCCGGAAUUAUUGGGCGUAAAGGGCUCGCAGGCGGUUUCUUAAGUCUGAUGUGAAAGCCCCCGGCUCAACCGGGGAGGGUCAUUGGAAACUGGGAAACUUGAGUGCAGAAGAGGAGAGUGGAAUUCCACGUGUAGCGGUGAAAUGCGUAGAGAUGUGGAGGAACACCAGUGGCGAAGGCGACUCUCUGGUCUGUAACUGACGCUGAGGAGCGAAAGCGU
rnacentral:rRNA from 1 species